rnacentral:rRNA from 1 species
AGAGUUUGAUCCUGGCUCAGAUUGAACGCUGGCGGCAGGCCUAACACAUGCAAGUCGAGCGGAAACGAGUUAUCUGAACCUUCGGGGAACGAUAACGGCGUCGAGCGGCGGACGGGUGAGUAAUGCCUAGGAAAUUGCCCUGAUGUGGGGGAUAACCAUUGGAAACGAUGGCUAAUACCGCAUGAUGCCUACGGGCCAAAGAGGGGGACCUUCGGGCCUCUCGCGUCAGGAUAUGCCUAGGUGGGAUUAGCUAGUUGGUGAGGUAAGGGCUCACCAAGGCGACGAUCCCUAGCUGGUCUGAGAGGAUGAUCAGCCACACUGGAACUGAGACACGGUCCAGACUCCUACGGGAGGCAGCAGUGGGGAAUAUUGCACAAUGGGCGCAAGCCUGAUGCAGCCAUGCCGCGUGUAUGAAGAAGGCCUUCGGGUUGUAAAGUACUUUCAGUCGUGAGGAAGGUGGUGUAGUUAAUAGCUGCAUUAUUUGACGUUAGCGACAGAAGAAGCACCGGCUAACUCCGUGCCAGCAGCCGCGGUAAUACGGAGGGUGCGAGCGUUAAUCGGAAUUACUGGGCGUAAAGCGCAUGCAGGUGGUUUGUUAAGUCAGAUGUGAAAGCCCGGGGCUCAACCUCGGAAUAGCAUUUGAAACUGGCAGACUAGAGUACUGUAGAGGGGGGUAGAAUUUCAGGUGUAGCGGUGAAAUGCGUAGAGAUCUGAAGGAAUACCGGUGGCGAAGGCGGCCCCCUGGACAGAUACUGACACUCAGAUGCGAAAGCGUGGGGAGCAAACAGGAUUAGAUACCCUGGUAGUCCACGCCGUAAACGAUGUCUACUUGGAGGUUGUGGCCUUGAGCCGUGGCUUUCGGAGCUAACGCGUUAAGUAGACCGCCUGGGGAGUACGGUCGCAAGAUUAAAACUCAAAUGAAUUGACGGGGGCCCGCACAAGCGGUGGAGCAUGUGGUUUAAUUCGAUGCAACGCGAAGAACCUUACCUACUCUUGACAUCCAGAGAACUUUCCAGAGAUGGAUUGGUGCCUUCGGGAACUCUGAGACAGGUGCUGCAUGGCUGUCGUCAGCUCGUGUUGUGAAAUGUUGGGUUAAGUCCCGCAACGAGCGCAACCCUUAUCCUUGUUUGCCAGCGAGUAAUGUCGGGAACUCCAGGGAGACUGCCGGUGAUAAACCGGAGGAAGGUGGGGACGACGUCAAGUCAUCAUGGCCCUUACGAGUAGGGCUACACACGUGCUACAAUGGCGCAUACAGAGGGCGGCCAACUCGCGAAAGUGAGCGAAUCCCAAAAAGUGCGUCGUAGUCCGGAUUGGAGUCUGCAACUCGACUCCAUGAAGUCGGAAUCGCUAGUAAUCGUGGAUCAGAAUGCCACGGUGAAUACGUUCCCGGGCCUUGUACACACCGCCCGUCACACCAUGGGAGUGGGCUGCAAAAGAAGUAGGUAGUUUAACCUUCGGGGGGACGCUUACCACUUUGUGGUUCAUGACUGGGGUGAAGUCGUAACAAGGUAGCCGUA